rnacentral:rRNA from 1 species
GACGAACGCUGGCGGCGUGCUUAACACAUGCAAGUCGAACGGAAAGGCCCUGCUUUUGUGGGGUCCUCUAGUGGCGAACGGGUGAGUAACCCGUGAGUACCCUGUCCUUGACUUUGGGGUAACUUCAGGCAACUGGGUCUAAUACCGCCUAGGAGCUCCUGCUUCAUGGUGGGGGUGGGAAAGUUUCGGCGGUUGGUGAUGGACUAGCGGCUCAUCAGAUUGUUGGUUGGGUAGUGGCUGACCAAGGCUAUGACGGGUAGCCUGCCUGAGAGGGUGACCGGACAAAUCACGACUGAGAUGAGGCACAGACUACUAUGGGAGGCAACAGUGGGGAAUAUUACACAAUAGGCGGAAGCCUGAUGCAGCAAAGCAGCGUGCGGGAUGACGGGAUUCGGGUAGUAUACUGAUUUCCUCUGUGCCGAAGCGUGAGUGACGGUAAUGGGUAAAGAAGCACCGGCUAACUACGUG